ACCUACGGGGCGCAGCAGUGGGGAAUUUUGGCCAAUGGGCGCAAGCCUGAUCCAGCUAUUCCGCGUGUGGGAUGACGGCCCUCGGGUUGUAAACCACUUUAGUAGAGAACGAAAAGGAGCUAUCGAAUAAAUAGCUCUGCUGACGGUACUCUAAGAAUAAGCACCGGCUAACUCCGUGCCAGCAGCCGCGGUAAUACGGAGGAUGCGAGCGUUAUCCGGAUUCAUUGGGUUUAAAGGGUGC
rnacentral:rRNA from 1 species